GAUUAGAUACCAUGGUAGUCCACACUGUAAACGAUGUGCACUGGGCAUUAGGUCUGUUAGAGAGCCUCGGUUCCGUAGUUGACGCGUUAAGUGCACCGCCUGGGGAGUAUGACCGCAAGGGUGAGACUCAAAGGAAUUGACGGGGGCCCGCACUAACGCUGGAGCAUGUGCAUUAAUUCGAUGAUACGCGAGAAACCUUACCAGGGCUUGACAUGUGCACGGAUGUAUCAGAGAUGAGGCAGCCUAUUUGAGUCGGGCACACAGGUACUGCAUGACUGUCGUCAGCUCGUUCCGUGAGUUGUUGGGUUAAGUCCCGCAACAAGCGCAACCCCUACCGUCAUGUUGCUUACAGGUUAACAUGAGGACUCGGACGGAACUUCCAGGUGACAAACCGGACCCAGGUGGGGACGACGUCAAGUCAUCAUGGCCCUUAUGUCCUGGGCUACACACAGGCUACAAUGCCCGGUACAAAGCGUAGCGAAGCGGUGACGCAGACCCAAUCGCAUAAAGCCGGUCACAGUUCGGAUUGGAGUCUGAACCCGACUCCAUGAAGAUGGCUCGAUAGUGAUCGCGCAUCAGCCGCCACCCGAAUACGUCCCGGACUGUACACACGCCCGUCACACCACCCGACAUGGGG
rnacentral:rRNA from 1 species